UACGAAGGGGGCUAGCGUUGUUCGGAUUUACUGGGCGUAAAGCGCACGUAGGCGGAUUGUUAAGUCAGGGGUGAAAUCCUGGAGCUCAACUCCAGAACUGCCUUUGAUACUGGCAAUCUAGAGUCCGGAAGAGGUAAGUGGAACUCCUAGUGUAGAGGUGGAAUUCGUAGAUAUUAGGAAGAACACCAGUGGCGAAGGCGGCUUACUGGUCCGGUACUGACGCUGAGGUGCGAAAGCGUGGGGAGCAAACAGG
rnacentral:rRNA from 1 species